rnacentral:rRNA from 1 species
AUGUACGCGAGGCUCAUCGGAGGUGUCCCUUCCAAUCGGUUCUCCUGCAUUUGGAGGUCCAAAGUUCCUCCUAAGGUGAAAAUCUUCCUAUGGCAAGCCUUAAGAGGUCGGCUUCCCGCUGCUGACCAAAUCCAUAAGCGUAAUGGCCCGGGCUCGGCUUUUUGUGCUCUUUGCGGUGUUGUGGAAAACACGGAACACAUCUUCUUUCACUGUGUUUUGGCUAAGUUAGUUUGGUGCUGUGCACGGUCGUGGUUACAUGUUACUUGGGACCCCUCCUCCUUUCUAGAGAUACGCACCCUAGCCAAUUCGUUGGUUGGGGUCACUAAGAGGAUCUUUUGGGUUGGCUUGGGUGCGAUUUGCUGGUCCUUUUGGACGAUUAGGAACAAAUUUACUAUUGAACAUGUCUUUCCUUCGAAGCCUGCUGACGUUCUUUUCAAAUCAUGUAUAUUCUUGCAGCAGUGGAGAUCAUUGACUAAAGAGGACGACCAAAGAGCUCUGGACCUGCUAAUCUCUAAAAUUCGGGCCUCGACGUCCUCCUUCUCCGGGCAGGCUCCUGAUGUCUAA